ensembl:Mt_tRNA
AGUCAGCGGUUAAUGAGCAUAGGUAAAAUGGCUGAGUAGGCAUUAGGCUGUAAACCUAAGGACAGAGGUUUAGCCCUCUUUUUACC